CCUACGGGAGGCAGCAGUAGGGAAUCUUUCACAAUGGGCGAAAGCCUGAUGGAGCAACGCCGCGUGCAGGAUGAAGGCCUUCGGGUUGUAAACUGCUUUUAUAAGCGAGAAAUAUGAUGGUAACUUAUGAAUAAGGAUCGGCUAACUACGUGCCAGCAGCCGCGGUCAUACGUAGGAUCCGAGCAUUAUCCGGAGUGACUGGGUGUAAAGAGUUGCGUAGGUGGCAUAAUAAGUAGCUAGUGAAAUCUGGUGGCUCAACCAUUCAGACUAUUAGCUAAACUGUUAAGCGCGAGACCGUUAGGGGUAACUGGAAUUUCUAGUGUAGGAGUGAAAUCCGUAGAUAGUAGAAGGAACACCAAUAGCGUAGGCAGGUUACUGGGACGGUUCUGACACUAAGGCACGAAAGCGUAGGGAGCAAACGGGAUUAGAUACCCCAGUAGUC
rnacentral:rRNA from 1 species